rnacentral:rRNA from 1 species
UGGGGAAUUUUGCACAAUGGGGGAAACCCUGAUGCAGCGACGCCGCGUGAUUUAGAAGGCCUUCGGGUUGUAAAAAUCUUUUGUAUGGGAAGAAAAUGACAGUACCAUACGAAUAAGGACCGGCUAAUUACGUGCCAGCAGCCGCGGUAAUACGUAAGGUCCGAGCGUUGUCCGGAAUCAUUGGGCGUAAAGGGUACGUAGGCGGAUAAGCAAGUUAGAAGUGAAAUCCUAUAGCUCAACUAUAGUAAGCUUUUAAAACUGCUCAUCUUGAGGUAUGGAAGGGAAAGUGGAAUUCCUAGUGUAGCGGUGAAAUGCGUAGAUAUAUGGAGGAACACCGGUGGCGAAAGCGGCUCUCUGGUCUGUAACUGACGCUGAGGCUCGAAAGCGUGGGGAGCGAACAGG